rnacentral:tRNA from 1 species
GCCCCUGUGGUGCAGUGGUCAGCGCGCUCCAUGCUGCCGUCUCGUGAUGUACUCACACUAAUGGGAUACUGAACAUGUGGAAUCCACCCUACCUUUGUAGGGGGAUAUUACAUGUUGUCGGUAUUUCAUAAGUGUGAGUACAUCACGAGAAGCAGACAUGGAGAGACCCUUGGUUCGAUUCCAGGCAGGUGUG